rnacentral:rRNA from 1 species
CAGGUGCUGCAUGGCUGUCGUCAGCUCGUGUCGUGAGAUGUUGGGUUAAGUCCCGCAACGAGCGCAACCCUUGCCAUUAGUUGCUACAUUCAGUUGAGCACUCUAAUGGGACUGCCGGUGACAAACCGGAGGAAGGUGGGGAUGACGUCAAGUCCUCAUGGCCCUUAUAGGUGGGGCUACACACGUCAUACAAUGGCUGGUACAAAGGGUUGCCAACCCGCGAGGGGGAGCUAAUCCCAUAAAGCCAGUCGUAGUCCGGAUCGCAGUCUGCAACUCGACUGCGUGAAGUCGGAAUCGCUAGUAAUCGUGGAUCAGAAUGUCACGGUGAAUACGUUCCCGGGUCUUGUACACACCGCCCGUCACACCAUGGGAGCGGGUCUCGCCAGAAGUAGGUAGCCUAACCGUAAGGA